ensembl:lncRNA
CAACACUGUAGUAAAUUGCUGCUAUCACUACAGGUUUUGGGGAAGAUACAAGACUCCAGUCACACAGACUGUUCCAUGUUGUGGAUUUCCUACAUUAAGCAGGGCAGCCUCUGGAAGCAGGAAAAAACCCCUACCCAAUAGUCAAAAAGAGGAAGCGUGGACUGAAGAGUCAAAGGGAAGAGGAAGGGGAAGAGGAACAGGUACGACGCAAGCGAAGACCAUGCCAACUGUUGCAGCUUUGUAGCUUGACAUCUCAGCCUGGGAAAACCCUCGGAGAAUUUGACGUCUCCCAAACGACAAUACAAGAACACCCAGCACCUCUGCUUGCCUACCAAGUGGAGAUAAUAUACAUUUCCAAUUAGCAGUACACAUUCCAGUCAUGUUCUCUUUUACUGCCUAACUAUCUUUGUUUUGCUAAAAAGCUAGGCAGUCACUAAUGAAAUUCUGCCGUUUGGCUAAUCCUGGGCACAAUGCGGCUUUUCUCUCCCCAAGCUACCCACAACGUAAAACUAUAGUUCCUCCAAGCUUACCACUGCCUUAAAAUCCCUUGUCAUUUGCUUUUCAUUAUAUACCUGAUACAGCACAGUCAAAAGCAGCCCUCCGAGGCACUGAAUUUCGUGUCUUUCCAGUGUUUCUUACCAUUUCACCAACUUCUCCUCCUAAUUAAAAAGAACUUCUCCAAAAUGUCUGCUUUCUGUCAUAGCAAUUU